rnacentral:tRNA from 1 species
GUGGCAGAGGCCCAGAGGUCGGGCGCCGGAUUGUGGCUCCGGAGGUCGGUGGGUUCGAUUCCCCCCUGCUACCCCA